AAGCAAAACACACCAUUUGACGUACCCUGUACGCGCACUUUUUUAGUAAUUGUAAUUCUUGUGUCUAAGAAGGCACUAGACUUUACUCCCGCCUUCUACAGUGCCCAUAUAUAAGGGCCGUUGCAAGAAUGAAGUAAUGAAAAGAGAGAUAUUAUUCUGUCCUUUUAAGCAAGUCCUUUUUCUCUCCUUAUUCCUUUCGACUGGUUCACCGACCUUCUCUCAUUCUGUUAGUCGUCUUCUCUAAAUUCUUAGUCCUGCUCCAUCGCCGCAACAAGAAGAGGGACAUGCGUUCUCUUUGGAUCCAACGCAUCAAUGCUGGCACCCGCCAACAUGGUGUUAGUCUUUUUUCUUUUUAACGCAUCUUGUUGGUUAAUUUUGGUAAUUUCAUGCAUGGGCUGCUGAAGGAGAACUUUCAGCUGAACAGAAAAGUCUUAUCAGAGAUAUCCAUGCACGAACCAUAUUGUUUCAAGGCCCUGGUAGGCAUUUCCCGCAACGCCUUUCCUGGAAACAGAAAUGUGGUGCAUCCUCCCAGGAAAGUGGACAUUUCUUCUGUUAAUGUGUAGUUCUUUAAUUGGGCACCUUGGUAAUUCACUCUUUUUAGAGCCCUUCAGAGCUUGUCUGAGACAAACGCUUUAAAUAGGUAGCUUUUUAUUUCCUGGGGUAGUUUAGACCUCCCUGUCUCUGGAUAUAUGGAUGAAUGAAAACAGCUAGGCAUUCUGAAGAAAUAGAAGUGAUAUCUGGCCAGUUACAUUUCA